GAAACGACUGCUAAUACCGCAUAAGCCCACGGCUCGGCAUCGAGCAGAGGGAAAAGGAGUAAUCCGCUUUGAGAUGGCCUCGCGUCCGAUUAGCUAGUUGGUGAGGUAAUGGCCCACCAAGGCGACGAUCGGUAGCCGGACUGAGAGGUUGAACGGCCACAUUGGGACUGAGACACGGCCCAGACUCCUACGGGAGGCAGCAGUGGGGAAUAUUGCACAAUGGGGGAAACCCUGAUGCAGCGACGCCGCGUGGAGGAAGAAGGUCUUCGGAUUGUAAACUCCUGUUGUUGGGGAAGAUAAUGACGGUACCCAACAAGGAAGUGACGGCUAACUACGUGCCAGCAGCCGCGGUAAAACGUAGGUCACAAGCGUUGUCCGGAAUUACUGGGUGUAAAGGGAGCGCAGGCGGGAAGACAAGUUGGAAGUGAAAUCUAUGGGCUCAACCCAUAAACUGCUUUCAAAACUGUUUUUCUUGAGUAGUGCAGAGGUAGGCGGAAUUCCCGGUGUAGCGGUGGAAUGCGUAGAUAUCGGGAGGAACACCAGUGGCGAAGGCGGCCUACUGGGCACCAACUGACGCUGAGGCUCGAAAGUGUGGGUAGCAAACAGGAUUAGAUACCCUGGUAG
rnacentral:rRNA from 1 species